UAUUAAGAUGCCAUUACAUGCAAGCGUCAAAAGUCAAACAUCUGCGCAGAAGAUUACUGCUGAUUACUGCGCAGUUUGAAUCUCCAGACUCUGCGUAAUAAGUAUUGUGUGAGAAAUCUCAAGGAGACUAAUCUUGUGAAAAAGUGAAGUGAAAUGAAAAAGUGAAGUGAAAAUGACAAAAAAACCGAACAAGAAAGAUUUCUUUUUGAAAGAAUAGUAAACUUAUAUAAUUAUAUAGGCAAUUCUCUUGGAAGAGUACUUUGAUCUUAGCUUUCUGUUUUAGGUGCUGUCAAUUCCAAAAAAUUGUAAAAAAAAAAACAAAAUGAUUAAACGAAAAAACGUAUAGUAUGCAGUACCAGCGUGCACAAAAAAAUUUAAUUUAGAGCAUUAUUUUUUCCAAUUUCCAAAAGAACAUAAAAAAUAGUUACAAGCUGCAAUGAGUAUAAACAUGUGAAAGGUUGGACUUAGAACCAAAAGGUUCAGAAUAUGCAUAUUAGAAUUGUCAGUUGUGUCGUUUGCAUUUCGAAGAAAAAUGAUAUAAAUUAAAUAAAAUGGAAGCUCAUCUUCAUCCAGAUGCCAUAUCGACAAUAUUUUGUGGGCUAGAAUAAAUAGAUGGAAAAUCUGCAAGUAAAAUAACAGGAAAAAAACAGCAAUAUGGAAUCUGCAGAAAUACAGCAGAAGCAUCUGGAGAAACACAUGGAAAUCGAAGCCGAAAUACAUAGAAACAAAUGAAAACAUAGAUAGAGAAUCUCCGAGUAAAAUACAGAAAAGAACUGAUAAUAAAUAAUAUUUUUGUACAUUUAAUAAAAGAUUUAAUGUGUAACAAACUUUAUACUUUCAGUAAUAUGGAAUCUGCAGAAACACUGCCAAUUAUUAUUGAUAACGUGGAUGCUGAGAUAGUUUUAAAUCAAGUACAUCCAAGGAUACAAA